rnacentral:rRNA from 1 species
AAAUUGAAGAGUUUGAUCAUGGCUCAGAUUGAACGCUGGCGGCAGGCCUAACACAUGCAAGUCGAACGGUAGCACAGAGGAGCUUGCUCCUUGGGUGACGAGUGGCGGACGGGUGAGUAAUGUCUGGGAAACUGCCCGAUGGAGGGGGAUAACUACUGGAAACGGUAGCUAAUACCGCAUAACGUCGCAAGACCAAAGAGGGGGACCUUCGGGCCUCUUGCCAUCGGAUGUGCCCAGAUGGGAUUAGCUAGUAGGUGGGGUAACGGCUCACCUAGGCGACGAUCCCUAGCUGGUCUGAGAGGAUGACCAGCCACACUGGAACUGAGACACGGUCCAGACUCCUACGGGAGGCAGCAGUGGGGAAUAUUGCACAAUGGGCGCAAGCCUGAUGCAGCCAUGCCGCGUGUAUGAAGAAGGCCUUCGGGUUGUAAAGUACUUUCAGCGAGGAGGAAGGUGUUG